rnacentral:rRNA from 1 species
AGAGUUUGAUCAUGGCUCAGAACGAACGCUGGCGGCAUGCCUAACACAUGCAAGUCGAACGAAGCCUUCGGGCUUAGUGGCGCACGGGUGAGUAACGCGUGGGAACGUACCUUUUGGUUCGGAACAACACAGGGAAACUUGUGCUAAUACCGGAUAAGCCCUUACGGGGAAAGAUUUAUCGCCGAAAGAUCGGCCCGCGUCUGAUUAGCUAGUUGGUGAGGUAACGGCUCACCAAGGCGACGAUCAGUAGCUGGUCUGAGAGGAUGAUCAGCCACAUUGGGACUGAGACACGGCCCAAACUCCUACGGGAGGCAGCAGUGGGGAAUAUUGGACAAUGGGCGCAAGCCUGAUCCAGCCAUGCCGCGUGAGUGAUGAAAGCCCUAGGGUUGUAAAGCUCUUUUGUGCGGGAAGAUAAUGACGGUACCGCAAGAAUAAGCCCCGGCUAACUUCGUG